rnacentral:rRNA from 1 species
UACGGAGGGUGCAAGCGUUGUCCGGAUUUAUUGGGUUUAAAGGGUGCGUAGGCGGCCAUUUAAGUCUGGGGUGAAAGCCCGUUGCUCAACAACGGAACUGCCCUGGAAACUGGAUGGCUUGAGUACAGACGAGGGUGGCGGAAUGGAUGCUGUAGCGGUGAAAUGCAUAGAUAGCAUCCAGAACCCCCGAUUGCGAAGCAGCUGCCUAGACUGUAACUGACGUGAGGCACGAAAAGCGUGGGGGAGCGAACAGG